AAUAAUAGGCUAGAAACCCAUCAACCCCAACCCAGAAGCAAAACACAGAACAAAAAGGGAAAGUUCAAAACUAAAAACAGCAAACUAACCCAGUCCGAAAUGAACUGGCCCCCAUUCAUGCUUUCAAAUAAUCUCAAAAACAUUGUUGUCGGUUACAGUUCCCCGAGGCAAAAACCCUAAAGCUAUCAUCAAUCAAUAUCCCAUUCUCUUUGUCUUUUAGAUCCCAGCGACUCCAAAGCAUAUCUGGGCAAUGAAUCCUUCCAGGUCUUGUACACCACCGUGGCUAACGAAAUCUGGAGGAUUCUACCCACAUCAGCUUUAGUAAAGUUCGCAGUUCCUAAAACCCGCGCAUCCUCUGUCACUGAGAUUUUCUCCCUUUUACCCACUCUCCAGCACAACCCUUUCUGCAAGAGUCCCUUCGUUGCCGAUAUACUCUGCCAGGUAUAAGAAGAUUUUAGAUUCAAGUUUCAAGCUCGGGGAUCGUCAGCAAAGUCUAUCACACUAUUGACCGCUUUUGGUAUUUAUAAAGUUGCAUUUUGGAACUAUGGCAUGUGUAGGCUGCAAUAUAUUUUUGGAAAUGUUGAAUUUGGUUAUGUAAUUAAAGCCAUGCUAAUAUAGCUUGCUAUUUUUGUUUGGAUUUAGUUUUAUGGGUGCUUAGUUAUAAGAUUUAGUAAGUUUGGUUUAGAAA